rnacentral:tRNA from 1 species
ACCUACUUGACUCAGCGGUUAGAGUAUCGCUUUCAUAGGCGAGAGUCAUUGGUUCAAAUCCAAUAGUAGGUA